GACGAACGCUGGCGGCGUGCUUAACACAUGCAAGUCGAACGGUAAGGCCCCAGCUUGCUGGGGUACACGAGUGGCGAACGGGUGAGUAACACGUGGGUGACCUGCCCCGCACUUCGGGAUAAGCCUGGGAAACUGGGUCUAAUACCGGAUAGGACCGCACCGUGAGGGUGUGGUGGAAAGUUUUUCGGUGUGGGAUGGACCCGCGGCCUAUCAGCUUGUUGGUGGGGUAAUGGCCUACCAAGGCGGCGACGGGUAGCCGGCCUGAGAGGGUGGACGGCCACAUUGGGACUGAGACACGGCCCAGACUCCUACGGGAGGCAGCAGUGGGGAAUAUUGCACAAUGGGCGGAAGCCUGAUGCAGCGACGCCGCGUGGGGGAUGACGGCCUUCGGGUUGUAAACUCCUUUCACCAUCGACGAAGGUUUUCUGACGGUAGAUGGAGAAGAAGCACCGGCUAACUACGUG
rnacentral:rRNA from 1 species